rnacentral:rRNA from 1 species
UACGAAGGGGGAGCAAGCGUUGUUCGGAUUUACUGGGCGUAAAGGGCGCGUAGGCGGCCACCGCAAGUCGACUGUGAAAUCUCUGGGCUUAACCCAGAACGGUCAGCCGAUACUGCGGGGCUAGAGUGCAGAAGGGGCAACUGGAAUUCUCGGUGUAGCGGUGAAAUGCGUAGAUAUCGAGAGGAACACCGAUGGCGAAGGCGGGUUGCUGGGCUGACACUGACGCUGAGACGCGAAAGCGUGGGGAGCGAACAGG